GGGUUAGUAGGUUGGUCAUGCCUCUGGUAUGUACUGGUCUCACUGAUUCCUCCUUCCUGAUGAACCUUAAUGCCAUUAAUUUGGUGCGUUAGGGAUCUAGGACUGUUACUUUGAAAAAAUUAGAGUGUUUAAAGCAGGCUCACGCUUGAAUACAUUAGCAUGGAAUAAUGAAAUAGGACGUUUGAUUCUAUUUUGUUGGUUUCUAGGAUCGACGUA
rnacentral:rRNA from 1 species